rnacentral:rRNA from 1 species
AGUGAACGCUGGCGGUAUGCCUAACACAUGCAAGUCGAACGGCAGGACAGUAAUAGCGUGCUCUUACGGGUUGCGAGUGGCGUACGGGUGAGGAAAACAUCGUAAUCUACAUUUUGGGGGGGGAUAACGAAGGUAAACUUACGCUAAUACCGCAGACGACCCUCCGUGGAAGGGGGUGGAUCGUCGGACCUGGUGGGAUUGAAUGAGCGGAUGUCGAAUUAGCUAGUUGGCGGGUUUAAGGCCCAGCAAGUCGACGAUCCGUAGCUGGUCUGUGAGGAUGAUAAGCCGCAUUGGACCUGGGACACGGUCAAGACUACUACGGGAGGCACCAGUGGGGAAUAUUGGACAGUGGGGGCAAGCCUGACACAGCCAUCCCAAGUGGGUGACAGAGGCCUUCGGGUUGUAAAGACCUUUUGUUGGGAGAGAACCGCUGCCGGUUGAUACCACGCUGUUGUGACGGUACCCAAAGAAUAAGCACCGGCUAACUUCGUG